rnacentral:lncRNA from 1 species
ACUGAUUUCACGACUUAAGAACUGUUUAACUUGCUUAUGUUGUUACAGAACCAUGUGAAAUAAUGAUGAAUGAAAAAAAAAAAAAAAAAAAAAAUAAAAAUAUGCUUCAAUGUCUAUUGUGCGAAAUAACUGGGUAUCUAAGCCUCGGGAAGCAUCGGUAUUCACGCUGAAAAGUGCGAUGGAUAAAAGCAGCUUGACUAGUCGACUUUUGUGGCCUUUGUUACUUGAAUAAGUAAGCCCGUAGGGGUGUCUCUACACCUAGCGCCCUAAGAUCAUCUGGUUUGGGAGUCGUUGGUGGAAAGUUCGCUAAUGGGUAACUCUGAAAAGCCUAAGAAAAGGAGACAUUGCACAUGUCAAGAAAAAAAAAAAAAAAAAAAAAAUACGAAAAAAAAGAGAAGAAGCAUGAAAAUACAUUCAUCUGUGCUAAAAAGAAGGUUCUAUGAAAAAAUUAAAAAGCGAGAAAAAUUUGUUCUUGGUUAUGAGUCAGUGUGCACGGUUUUUGCUCCAUGGUAACUAAGUUGAGUAAGUAUGAUGAUUUUGGGAAAGUUACUUAUGUGGCUACAAUUUGAUUUAAUGAAAUUCAUUGGUGAAAUGGUAAAGUUGGUAAUUGUGAGUUAAUUGAUAAGGCGUUGAUUAGAUUUCUGCAAAUUUAGUGUUGAUAGUCAUUAUUUGUAUCUUGAAAUCUUUUGACACUAUGG